GUGACCUCAAAUCAGGUAGGACUACCCGCUGAACUUAAGCAUAUCAAUAAGCGGAGGAAAAGAAACUAACAAGGAUUCCCCUAGUAACUGCGAGUGAAGCGGGAAAAGCUCAAAUUUAAAUCUGGCGGCCUUUUGCUGUCCGAGUUGUAAUCUAGAGAAGUGUUAUCC
rnacentral:rRNA from 1 species